AGUGAACGCUGGCGGUAGGCCUAACACAUGCAAGUCGAACGGCAGCACAGGAGAGCUUGCUCUCUGGGUGGCGAGUGGCGGACGGGUGAGGAAUACAUCGGAAUCUGCCCAGUCGUGGGGGAAAACGAGGGAAAACUAAGUUAAUUACGCCUUACAACCUUCGGGGGAAGAGGGGGGAUGGAAAGACCCUUCGGGCUGGGUUAAGCGAUGUCGGAUUAGCUAGUUGGCGGGGUAAUGGCCCCCCAAGGCGACGAUCCGUAGCUGGUCUGAGAGGAUGAUCAGCCACACUGGAACUGAGACACGGUCCAGACUCCUACGGGAGGCAGCAGUGGGGAAUAUUGGACAAUGGGCGCAGGCCUGAUCCAGCCAUACCGCGUGGGUGAAGAAGGCCUUCGGGUUGUAAAGCCCUUUUGUUGGGAAAGAAAUCUUUCAGGCUAAUACCCUGGGAGGAUGACGGUACCCAAAGAAUAAGCACCGGCUAACUUCGUG
rnacentral:rRNA from 1 species